rnacentral:rRNA from 1 species
UACGGAGGGUGCAAGCGUUAUCCGGAUUCACUGGGUUUAAAGGGUGCGUAGGUGGGCAGGUAAGUCAGUGGUGAAAUCUCCGGGCUUAACCCGGAAACUGCCAUUGAUACUAUCUGUCUUGAAUACCGUGGAGGUGAGCGGAAUAUGUCAUGUAGCGGUGAAAUGCUUAGAUAUGAACAUAGAACACCAAUUGCGAAGGCAGCUCACUACACGAAUAUUGACACUGAGGCACGAAAAGCGUGGGGAUCAAACAGG